CAGGAAGAGAGCUGUGACACUUGCUGGGUUGAGUCUGCUGGAAGAAUAAAGGCUGUUCUCUGACUUUCAUGUGCUGCUGGGUUGUUUCCUGUCAGAGCUGUAACACCAGCGCAACGGUGUGUGAUCCCAGGAAAAUGCACAGGACGCCUGGAACUGAUGCAACGCCCCUGUAGGAGAGCUGCCGGCAGCACCACGUCCAGGCUUCCCCGAGCCCACUGGCUCCGCGCCUUCCUGGUCUUCUCUGAGGCCAGAUAUGCAGAGGCAGGAAGGACCUGCAUCUCAGCAGACGUCAUGCGGCCGCAGCCAACGCAGGUGUGCCGGAGAGAAAGCACACUAAACCCGCAAAUGUCUCCCAAGGAUAAAAGCUCCUGCUGAAGUAGCCAGUUUGAGAAGGAACUGAGAAGAGCAUGAUUGGCCGAGAGCCAGGAGAACCCACAGUGCCCAGGUGCUUGAGAGUCAAUGGACCAUGAUUUGUGAACCUGUUUGAAUUUUAAUUUUUCAUAAACUCUAAAGAAGAAAAUAAGAAAAGAAAAGGAGAAAACUCUAAAGAAGAAAACUGGGCCAGGGAUGCAAACAUUCUGACCACAGCACAUGGCUUGCUCCAGAGAAGGUGGCAGGUGUUGCCCUUAUCUUGGUUGACACAUGAAGGGUAGUAUUCGGGGAACCCAAUGGCUGAGGGAAGGAAAAUGGAAGUUCUUGUAUUGGAAGACAUCAGGUGAUUGUCCCCACAGCAAAUGAAAACAAUGGCAACUUCAACAGCUCUUAGUGUUGAACAGGAACAUGAGCACGGGUGCAGAAAGAACAUAGAUUCUGUACUGCAUCUACUCGACACUGCCUUCGUGUUAUGGUAUGACAGAGGGUGGACACAAGGCCCGAGGGAGAGGCAAGAUAACCGGAUAGGUGGCAGUGGGAAGUUUGCAUUGAUAGAGACAUUGGUAGUUUAAUAUGUUUUCAGUCUAUUGCCUGGCCUUUUCUCUCACACUUGAAAUAAUCCAAA